rnacentral:lncRNA from 1 species
CCUAAGAAGGACAAGUUCAUAAUUGAAUUCGUCAAUGCCAAUUUGUAAGUCUAUAACUUUAGCUUCGAUGAAUGCAUGAGUACCAUCGAGUGGCUCUACUCCUCAAUCAAAGUCAAUCCUCACAUUUCUCGAGGUAGUAAGGAUGGGAUGGACAAUGGAGCCCAGGUCACCAAGGAUGUGCAGACUGAAGGCACUUCUGUAUUCAAAGCUAAGGCUUUUUCUUCCAGUUUUCUUUUUUUUAAAUUUGUAUAAGCCAACUUGGUAUGUAUCGAGCAAACACUAU